rnacentral:rRNA from 1 species
GUGGGGAAUAUUGGACAAUGGGCGCAAGCCUGAUCCAGCCACGCCGCGUGAGUGAUGAAGGCCUUCGGGUCGUAAAGCUCUGUGGGGAGGGACGAACCGCCGGUGGUUAAUACCCAUCGGCAUGACGGUACCUCCUUAGCAAGCACCGGCUAACUUCGUGCCAGCAGCCGCGGUAAUACGAAGGGUGCAAACGUUGCUCGGAAUCAUUGGGCGUAAAGCGCACGUAGGCGGCUUUGCAAGUCUGACGUGAAAUCCCUCAGCUCAACUGAGGAAGUGCAUCGGAAACUGCAAGGCUUGAGUACUGAAGAGGAUCGCGGAAUUCCCGGUGUAGAGGUGAAAUUCGUAGAUAUCGGGAGGAACACCAGUGGCGAAGGCGGCGAUCUGGGCAGAUACUGACGCUGAGGUGCGAAAGCGUGGGGAGCAAACAGGAUUAGAUACCCUUGUAGUCC